CACAAGCGGUGGAGCAUGUGGUUUAAUUCGACGCAACGCGAAGAACCUUACCAGGUCUUGACAUCCCGAUGCUAUUUCUAGAGAUAGAAAGUUACUUCGGUACAUCGGUGACAGGUGGUGCAUGGUUGUCGUCAGCUCGUGUCGUGAGAUGUUGGGUUAAGUCCCGCAACGAGCGCAACCCCUAUUGUUAGUUGCCAUCAUUCAGUUGGGCACUCUAGCGAGACUGCCGGUAAUAAACCGGAGGAAGGUGGGGAUGACGUCAAAUCAUCAUGCCCCUUAUGACCUGGGCUACACACGUGCUACAAUGGUUGGUACAACGAGUUGCGAGUCGGUGACGGCGAGCUAAUCUCUUAAAGCCAAUCUCAGUUCGGGUUGUAGGCUGCAACUCGCCUACAUGAAGUCGGAAUCGCUAGUAAUCGCGGAUCAGCACGCCGCGGUGAAUACGUUCCCGGGCCUU
rnacentral:rRNA from 1 species